ACGAACCGUCCAAACGUUAUUCGGAAUCACUGGGCUUAAAGGGUGCGUAGGCGGUCCGGGAAGUUGGGUGUGAAAGCCCUCGGCUCAACCGAGGAAUUGCGUCCAAAACUGCCGGGCUGGAGGGAGACAUAGGUGAGCGGAACUUAGGGUGGAGCGGUGAAAUGCGUUGAGAUCCUAAGGAACACCAGUAGCGAAAGCGGCUCACUGGGUCUCUUCUGACGCUGAUGCACGAAAGCCAGGGGAGCGAAGAG
rnacentral:rRNA from 1 species